CGAACGGCUGGCGGCGUGCUUAACACAUGCAAGUCGAACGCGAAAGGGACUUCGGUCCUGAGUAAAGUGGCGCACGGGUGAGUAACGCGUAGAUAACCUGUCUUCAUGGUCUGGAAUAAUACGCCGAAAGGGGUACUAAUACCGGAUAUUCUUGCUUUUCAUAAGUUAUGCAAGCAAAGGUGGCCUCUGCAUAUGCUACUGCAUGAAGAGGGGUCUGCGUACCAUUAGCUAGUAGGUGGGGUAAUGGCCUACCUAGGCGACGAUGGUUAGCGGGUCUGAGAGGAUGAUCCGCCACACUGGCACUGGAACACGGGCCAGACUCCUACGGGAGGCAGCAGUGAGGAAUAUUGCGCAAUGGGGGAAACCCUGACGCAGCGACGCCGCGUGAGUGAAGGAAGGCCUUCGGGUCGUAAAGCUCUGUCAAGAGGAAAGAAGUGUACAAUGGCUAAUACCUGUUGUAUUUGACGGUACCUCUAAAGGAAGCACCGGCUAACUCCGUGCCAGCAGCCGC
rnacentral:rRNA from 1 species